AUGGAUGUUCAUAUUUCCAAGGUCGUGAAAUAUGUCGUGCUGGCUGCGCAGCCUUGCCAAUACCAGGACAUCUUCAUGCCGGAUAAUGAGAAUAUCAACUCUGAAGCUCAACUUGUAGUUGAUCCAGGAAAGCACAACAUGGGUAUCGAGAAGCCACAACAGCCGAACAAGCAAGGGCAUGAUGGCAUAAACAUUUACAAUGAGGUCUGCUUCGCUGUUAACUCUGGAAAUGAUAAUCGAUAUAACUACUGUGAAUCCACGAAAAAUGGAAAUUAUAAUCACAGUGGUAAUCCAGUUGACGAGUUGGAUGACCUUUGGAAGGACAUGUCGGUUGAACUGGCAUGUUGGAAGGCCAUUGGAAGUGAUCACACUACUGUUUCGUCGAAGAUGAAUAGUUCUGAAGUAGUGGAUGAUUGUUAUCAUGACUUCCUGAUGAAAGAUGAUUUGGGCAUUGUGUGCCGUGUUUGUGGUUUGGUCCAGCAACACAUCAGGAAUAUUUUUGAGUUGCAGUGGAAAAAGUGGAGCCACAUCUCUUAUUUCCUCUUUCUUGCAGCAGCGCAACCAAUCACACACCCAGAAGCUGCAAUGAUCUGGAGGCAACUACCAAUCCUUCAGGAGAUAAUUCCUCAAGUAGUCCCUGGUGCUCUAUCAAUCCACCCUCAGCAUUCAGAACAGAUGAAACCUCACCAAGCAGAUAAGAACAACCCCUGGAGGUUGUAUUCUAGCACAUGCACCAGGUUCUGGAAAGACUUUCAUGCUAAUUAG
rnacentral:rRNA from 1 species